GAACAGUCUGGACCAGCUUACACAGGGAUUGGCCACUUUGGACAUCAGUCAGUCUUCAACCAAUCAGGCACCACGUGCUGUCUCCUCCCUAGUGGGCGGAGCCAAGAACUGUCUGAGUUCUGACAAGAAUGAGAAGCUUAUAAAGGCAAAGUCAGAAGACAGCCAAGCCACAGAGAGUAUGUUACCUCAGAGCUCUGAUGAAGAAGAAGCGGAGCCAGAAGCAGAUGGAGCGUGUGGCUGGUCAAAGUCUCAGGUGUCUCUAGAGAGCAUUCUGUACGUGGUGGAUCCUCUGCCCUGGUGUCCUCACCUGGACGCUGUUAGACCCCUUCCCUCCUCAGGUAUAAACAUCUCUCUGCCAUGUAAGGACUGCGGCUCGGAGGCUGAGAACUGGAUCUGCC